rnacentral:tRNA from 1 species
UAGGGAUGAAGUAUAAAGUACAUUUUAGUUACAUUAAAAAAGACUCAGUUAGAGCGUCCUUAU